AUUGAACGCUGGCGGCAGGCUUAACACAUGCAAGUCGAGCGGGGUGAUGGUGCUUGCACUAUCACUUAGCGGCGGACGGGUGAGUAAUGCUUAGGAAUCUGCCUAUUAGUGGGGGACAACAUCUCGAAAGGGAUGCUAAUACCGCAUACGCCCUACGGGGGAAAGCAGGGGAUCACUUGUGACCUUGCGCUAAUAGAUGAGCCCAAGUCGGAUUAGCUAGUUGGUGGGGUAAAGGCCUACCAAGGCGACGAUCUGUAGCGGGUCUGAGAGGAUGAUCCGCCACGCUGGGACUGAGACACGGCCCAGACUCCUACGGGAGGCAGCAGUGGGGAAUAUUGGACAAUGGGGGGAACCCUGAUCCAGCCAUGCCGAGUGUGUGAAGAAGGCCUUAUGGUUGUAAAGCACUUUAAGCGAGGAGGAGGCUCUUUUGGUUAAUACCCAGAAUGAGUGGACGUUACUCGCAGAAUAAGCACCGGCUAACUCUGUGCCAGCAGCCGCAGUAA
rnacentral:rRNA from 1 species